CCUACGGGUGGCUGCAGUGAGGAAUAUUGGUCAAUGGCCGAGAGGCUGAACCAGCCAAGUCGCGUGAGGGAUGAAUGCCCUAUGGAUUGUAAACUUCUUUUGUCUGGGAGUAAAGUGUCCCACGUGUGGGUUUUUGUGUGUACCUUAUGAAUAAGGAUCGGCUAACUCCGUGCCAGCAGCCGCGGUAAUACGGAGGAUCCGAGCGUUAUCCGGAUUUAUUGGGUUUAAAGGGAGCGUAGGUGGUUUUUUCAGGCAGUUGUUAAAGUUUGAGGGUCAACCGGAAAAUGGCCGUUGAAACUGUUAGUCUUGAGUACAGUAGAGGUAGGCGGAAUGCGUGGUGUAGCGGUGAAAUGCAUAGAUAUCACGAAGAACUCCGAUUGCGAAGGCAGCACACUGG
rnacentral:rRNA from 1 species